AAAGUGGGUUGGUUAAUGGUAGUGCAGCUAGAUAGCUGGCUGCCAUUUAUAGCUAGAGAAUGAAGAGUGCAAAAUUGGAAGUGUAAUCUCUUAUGCGAAGUGGGGCGAAGCUUAAUGGUGCAAAAAAGGUGGCAAGAGUGCAAGAAAGCAUGAAAUUUCAACACUGAUCAUGCUCUUCAUAGUGCUUUCAACGCGUCUAAGUUACAUAUGUUGGCUGAUGUUCUCUUCAUCAUAUCCAUCUCCAUGUGUAGUU
rnacentral:misc_RNA from 1 species